GAUGAACGCUGGCGGCGUGCUUAACACAUGCAAGUCGAACGGAAAGGCCCAAGCUUGCUUGGGUACUCGAGUGGCGAACGGGUGAGUAACACGUGGGUGAUCUGCCCUGCACUUCGUGAUAAGCCUGGGAAACUGGGUCUAAUACCGGAUAGGACGAUGGUUUGGAUGCCAUUGUGGAAAGUUUUUUCGGUGUGGGAUGAGCUCGCGGCCUAUCAGCUUGUUGGUGGGGUAAUGGCCUACCAAGGCGUCGACGGGUAGCCGGCCUGAGAGGGUGUACGGCCACAUUGGGACUGAGAUACGGCCCAGACUCCUACGGGAGGCAGCAGUGGGGAAUAUUGCACAAUGGGCGCAAGCCUGAUGCAGCGACGCCGCGUGGGGGAUGACGGCCUUCGGGUUGUAAACUCCUUUCGCUAGGGACGAAGCGUUUUUGUGACGGUACCUGGAGAAGAAGCACCGGCUAACUACGUG
rnacentral:rRNA from 1 species